AUGAACGCUGGCGGCGUGCCUCAUACCUGCAAGUCGAGCGAACAGACGAGGAGCUUGCUCCUCUGACGUUAGCGGCGGACGGGUGAGUAACCCGUGGAUAACCUACCUAUAAGACUGGGAUAACUUCGGGAAACCGGAGCUAAUACCGGAUAAUAUAUUGAACCGCAUGGUUCAAUAUUGAAAGACGGUUUUGCUGUCACUUAUAGAUGGAUCCGCGCCGCAUUAGCUAGUUGGUAAGGUAACGGCUUACCAAGGCAACGAUGCGUAGCCGACCUGAGAGGGUGAUCGGCCACACUGGAACUGAGACACGGUCAAGACUACUACGGGAGGCAGCAGAAGGGAAUCUUCCGCAAUGGGCGAAAGCCUGACGGAGCAACGCCGCGUGAGUGAUGAAGGUAUUCGGAUCGUAAAACUCUGUUAUUAGGGAAGAACAAAUGUGUAAGUAACUAUGCACGUAUUGACGGUACCUAAUCAGAAAGCCACGGCUAACUACGUG
rnacentral:rRNA from 1 species